ensembl:lncRNA
AGCGCUCUCAAUGAUUGUUGUGUCAGUCAACAUUUGGACCAGAACAAAAGGUUCCAAAACACAUCGUGGCAAGAAGCAGCACAGUGAUGAAGAUGAUGAUGUGGUGACGUAAGAAAAUGCUGAAGAUGUUUCUGCUCCUGUUAGAUUCCACAGAUCAACAAAUCAGCUGUGAAAAUAUUUCUUAUCUGCAGUUAUUUCAAACACAGCAGCUGGAUUUAAAGAUGAUUGAACAGGAAAUGAGAACAGAGAAAAACAGAAUCUGCUUUACUGCUGCAACAGGACUAGAAGUCUGUUUUAUCUGAUCAGUAAAGACAAUAAAACAACAAACUAUCAACACAAUUAUUGAAGUAUUUUCUUCUUUUGUUUCAAUAUUUUGCUAGUCUUGUGUUAUUUUUAUCACUAAUAUAACUCACUGUAAUUUACUUUGCUGUUGUUUUGUUGUUGUUGCUUCUCAGGAGUUUUUUUGUGUUUAAAUGUUUUUUUCUUUAUUUAAUAUAUUUGCUUUACUGUCUUCAAUUGAUUUUAAU